GUGAUGUGAACCGUGUCUUAGGGGUGCAGAAUGGGGAAGGGGGACUCUUAGCAAACUGUCAAGUUGCUGGGUGGGAUGAUAUUUUGAAAUGUUAAUUGAAGUUUCCUCUUUCACCCCAGAUUUCUUUGUUCCUUUUUCUACUCUUCCUAUUCAAACAAGACCUUUCUGCGGGUACCACUUUGCCCAGACCCCUCCCCAGGGAAUGCACCCUCCCCUGCGCUGGGAACAAAGGCUGUAGAUGGCUCACAGCUGAGUCAUUUGCUGGACAUCACCCUUUGCUGCCAGGAACUGCCUCGUUCAAGCUUACGUGCCCACGGAUGGCGCCCGUGCUCAUUUGACUGACCGAGGCAGGAAUGCAGAAGCUCGGCCUCCUCACCCCAAUUGGAGCCAAACCUGAUGGGCUAUUUCAAUUCCAGAGUGCCUCUCAGGGUUGGCUGAGGGUAGCCUCCAUCGCAACCUCGCUGAAAGUCAGCUUUUCCUCCUGAGAUGUGCUGUCUGUCUUCUUUCCAGGGGACCUUCUCAGGAACACUCCCUGAUAAACCUUCUGCAUGCAAUCUUCCACCUCAGGCUGUUUCCAGGAAACUUCUAAGGCAGUUGACACAGGAAAUAGUUGUGAAAAAGUGGGCUCUAGAUGGAAAACUGGAGAAGUGUGUGUGGCAGGUUGACAGCGAGGACGCCAUCACUGGUGGUGGGGAUGGUGCUGGAAAGGCUGAGGGAAAAUGGUGAGCUGGAGGUGAGACCGAGUGAUUGUGGCUGAGAGCUCCUCAGCUUGAGGAGAGCAGGAGGCUGAGGUGAGGUUCACCAGUUUAAGGUGAACUGUGAAAGCCCGAGUGCCUCCUUGGCAGCUUGUGAGAAAAUCCCAGUGUUCUCCAGCAGGUCAACUGGAGUGCCAGUCAUAAUCUUACGUAUAGCAGAGUUUUGGAGAAGGUUAAAUUCUCAGGUCUCCAAAGUCGGGGUCCGAAUAGAGAAUUGGUGAGACCCCGAUACUUGGGAUGGGUACCUGGACAAUUAAGAACCUUGCACCUUGGGGCGCUUGAGUGGCUCAGGUAGUUGAGCAUCUGACCCUUGAUUUCAGCUCAAGUCAUCGUCCCAGGGUCAUGGGAUCAAGCCCUGCAUCGGGCUCUAUACUGAGCUUGGAGUCAGCUUGGGAUUCUCUCUCUCUCUCUCUCUCUCUCUCUGCCACUCCCCCACAUGCAUUUGUGUUCUCUUUCUCUCUUAAAACUAACUAACUAACUAAAUGAAUAACUUAACAAAACAAAGAGAAGCACAAUGCUUAGUAGGCCUCUUUGGACUUUGGAGGCAGCAUCUUCUGUCCCUGUAAAUACUGCUUCAACCCAUUUUUCUGGGUGAUAUGGAAGGCGGUCAUCUUUGAGUAGGAUCCAGGAAAGAAAGCGUCUGCAGCAGGUCAGGUGGUGGUGUAAGUGACCCUGCCAUUUGUGUCAUACAACCUGGUCGCCCCUAUGGUCCUCACUGGUAGGAGUGGGACGGUAUGCUCUCUAUGGCACUACGGAGAUGUAUGGUGGCAAAAGACAUCACAUGGAGCUUAUGGCAAGCCCCAGGAGAGUCAGAAGGUAACCCCUGACAUUUUGGAGAAAGGCCAUGUCUAUCGGUGGCAGAAAGGUAUGCAUCAUUUGAAAAGUAGCUCUUAGUAAGCUUCUCGGCCCUGGUAGAGUGGGGACAUGUCACCAUGGGAUGUCAACUGCAUGGCCAGGCUGGGUUCUGUCAGACCCACUGACUUAUAAGAUUGGGUGGACUCAUCAUAAGGGGAAGUGAGAUAUCUAGGCCUGGACAUAAGCAGGGUCAGAGUGAAUGAGGAAGUUGCACAGUUAGCUGGGCCCCAUAUCACCCAGCACUGUUUUCCGGUAUUUUUCCCUCAGCUCACAUCGAUGGUCCGCUACGGGGCCAGGGCGACUUGAUUCACCGGUGCGUGUAAAUAAUGGACUACGCCGCUCAGGGAUGGCCUUGGAAGAUGGCAGCCAGGAGCAGUCCUCCAGGGGACAUAUAUCUGGGUAGAAUACAUGGCUCUGAGAACCAGAAGAUAGCAGUAGGAGAGGUCUUUCUCACCAUUGGUCCCAGUGACCAACAGAGGGAACUGUGCUUUCCGUCCUUGCCACAUUGGCUUCUGCGGCUUCCAGGGGAAGAACGUCUUCACCAGAGGACACAUUUCUCAGGCAACUGGUCCGACCAAAAUCCUGGAGAAGAAGCUUCCCUGAUGGGGCACACUCAUGACAAGAAGCAACUUCAUCCGUGGUGACUCUGGACCACGGGCACUGUGGGGCUCUGCUUGGAGGUCUCUUCAGGGCCAGGUUGUCCACCACUCAGCUGCCUUUCUGGGAACUGCCCUCAGCCUCAGGGAAGUGCCCCCCUGCAAGGUUCCUUCACCUCUCAGAGUGCAGUCCAUGUCCGAUGACUGGCCUGGGGGGUCCACAUGCAAUCUUGGCAAGAGUCAUCCUCUCCCAGUGCUCAAUUCCACCUUCCCCCACUUCCUCAAAGAUGUGUCUUCUGAGAACACUCCCAGUAAACCCCCCUGGGUACAGUUUUGCAUCUCAGACUCUUUCCAUGGAACCCAAGCUGGCUUUCCAGUUCCAAAGCCAAGGGCUUUAGGAUAUUGGAAAUGCCUCAUGGAAUAUAUAAGGUUUUGGGGUAAAAAUAAGAGUAACAGUAGCUUCUCCCAAGCCAAAGCAAAACAAAACAAACCAAAAAAAUAAAAUUAGGGCAAAAAGGUUUCCCAGUAAAUUUUCUUUUAUUGUUACAGUGUAACCCUCUUUGUCCCUAAUGAUGUUCUUACUUUAAAAUCUACUCUUUUCCCCCUUUGAUAUUAAUAUAGCUACUCUGGUUUUAUUGGUAAAAUUUACCUGGCAAGUCCAAAACUCUUCAAUCUGUGGAUUUCAUCUUAGUUAAUGUUAAUCGCGGUCGAAAGCUUAUUUUUCAUGACAAAUUCUUAAAGGAGCACCUGCUCCUAGCCCGGUGCUCUUAGCACUGUGGUGGUCUUCUGUGGGCCUGAGUGUGGGGUCUGUUUCCCUCACCCUCAUAGGGGGCUGGAUUCCUCUGGGGUCCCAGCUCUGUGGAAGAAUGGUCUCCUGCCAUACUCUCCACUUUGUAAUGGGAUGCGGGCUUUUCAUAAAGGCCACGAAGAUGAAAGUUCACCGGAUUUGCUCUCAAGGCAAAAGUGAUUUCAAUAGUAGGCUUCUCACUUACAAUUUUCCCUUAGAUUUUGGCCUGAUAUUCAUAAAGAUGUUUUUAAGAAUUACAAAAAAUAUAUAUCCAGAGUUCUUAGCUGUUUUCAGGAUUUAGUCCGAACACUGGGCCUGCCAUAUUACUGGAAACAGAACUCCUAGUAGUAAAUUUUUUAAGAAAGAAAUUAUUGAUGAUGGUAGACUUUUACCAUCUACUCGCUCUGCAUAUGCAGAGAACUUGUUUAACUUAUGUGAUGGAAAUAUCCUCUUUAAUGUGGGCAUGAUGGAUUAUAGGAUUCUAAAACUCCAUCCUGUUCAUUUUAAUUCAUUUCAUGAGACAAAGAGGGAGAGGAAAAUUCUUCACUAUUUAUUGGAUGGGUGCACAUUACUAAACAAUUUCAAUAAUUGAUUUGCAUUAUACAGUCAAGACAAUAAAUUUGAAAAUCAAUGAAAGCCACUUACACAACCGCUUCGUGGAACAAAUAUGUAAGAUGUGAAUAUUUAUGAUGGUAAGUCAGAUUAAGUUGCUGAACACUUUUUUCUCAUCUGUCGGCAAUGAUGCAAAGCUCUGGGAGUAAGCUAUCAACUUUUUGUAGUGUGUUUUGAUUAAGUAUAAAUAAACGAAUCACAUUUUCACGGUUAUAAACUAGUUCAUCAAAUGGGGGAGGCAGUGCAAACAGCCUUCUUCUCUAGAAACAUAUGGUUAGCAGUGUAGGCUUAUGAAAAUUGUGUCAUAGUUCAACAUUUAAAUUAAGGAAAACUUCCAAAGGCUAAGACAUGAUAACAGAUUUUACAGCACCCAUGACAAAGCUUCACGUUGAUUUUUUUUUUUAAAAAAACUACGAAACUGACAACUAAGUUUUAAUGCCUCGAAAUUGUCCCCAAAGAACCUUGAGUUUGUUGUGUUCAUUAACUUUUUAGGACUGUCCUUCCUGCUGUCCAAGUUCUAAACACAGGCUUUGCCUUUAGGAUGCUUUUCUUUUUUGCCAAAAUAUAGGUGUGACAUUUGGGGCAAUUUUGUAAGGUUUUUGCUAGGGAACAUAAAAGAAAGCCCAUCUUUUCUUUUAUGCUCCUUCUACCUUGGACUCCUGGUGCUUCCACACCCGGUGGAGAUGGAGACCUCAUGGAGGCUGAGGAAACGGACAUACCUUGAAUCCCUGCUUUUACGGCUGCUGGGUGGCAGAUGGCGAUUCUGCUCCGCCAAGUGGCAAUUUCAAAACUUCUUUGUUCUUCCCCAGCCUCCCGACCCAUUCCUUUCUCAUCUCCGCCAUGUCAGUGGAUGACCCCAGUUUCCCUGAGCUUGGAGAAGCUUAGAGAAAGGCUCCAUGCCCUCACUCGCAUCAUCCCAUCUGCGUGCCGCCCCCCUCCCUCCUGAAGGCCCUCGGCAAGGUCAGUGUCCCGGAUGGAAUGUGUCUUGGGUUGUCCUGGGCUCUUUGCUGCCAGCCCAUGAAGGCUUCCUCCUACAAGGUCAGCUCUGUAGUUUCUGUUGGGACAUUUCCAUUAGCGUGUGACUCAGUGGAAGGAAAUACACAAGCCGCGCCAGCCACCCAUCUGACUCCUUAGCGAACUUCAGUGACCAUGUCUGUGCUCUCCACCGCCUCUCCUCCCCUCUUUAACCCACUCCAGUCAAAGCUGUGGUGAAGCCCACUCUCUAGGAAGCUACUUUGUCACCGACAACCUUCAUUUUAGCAAAUCCAGCCGUCAAAACUUUCUCCCCUUGGACCGUAUCUCGCAUCCCCUCCUUUCUUUUGGAGAUGCUCUCCCCACGGACUUGUGCAGCACAGAUAGCCUCACACUUGCUUCCCUCCUUGGGCUCCCAGCUGCUGAUUCCCGGACAUCAUUAGUGAUUCCCUAUAUGAAUUUCCUGCUGCUGCUGUGAAAAAUUACCACAGACUUAGUGGCUUCAACAGCAUGAGUUUAUUAUCUUACAGUUCUGUAGAGUACAAGUCCAACAAGGAUCUCUCUGGGCUAAAGUCAAGGUGUGGACAGAGCUGCAUUCCCUUUGGAGGCUCCUGGGGAGAGUCUGCUCCCUGGCUUUUCCAGCAUCUAUAGGUCACCCAAUUACUCGACACGUGACCCCUUUCUCCACCUUCAAAACCAGAAGCAUGGCAUCUUCUCUCCGGUCUGAUCUCUGCUUCUGUUCUUGCAUUUUUCUCUGACCCUACCUUCUCUGCCCCCCUCUGAUAAGGACCCUUGUGAUUAUGUUUGGCUCACCCAGGCAUCCCAGGAUAGUCUCCCCAUCUCAACCUCCUUACCAUCAAUCACAUCUGCAAAGUCCCCUUUACCCUGUGAGCUAAGAUACUCACCAGUUCUGGGGAUUAGGACAUGGACAUCUGAACAAGGGGGAGCCCUUAUUCAGGCCACCACACACCCUCUCCUUAGGUUCACUUGUUAAUUUUUCCAUACCCCAAACUUGGCCCUUGCUUCUCCUCUUCUCCAUCCACAUUCUCUGAGAAGAUCUCUCUGAGAUGUCAAAUGCCAUGUUUAAACGG